AGAAGCAAGCCCCAAGCUUGCCCACUGUGGGCAGAGGGAUCCUCCUCCGAUGGUCACCGGGCUUUCUUUUGGAAGGAGCAGUCUUUCCUCCCUUGCAACGGCUUUCAUCGUGGAGUGAGCCCAGUUAGAUUUCCUGCCUCUCUGUGUCUUCUGCAAUCCUUCCCCUGCAGCUCUCACUGGAGAGCUCACCCCUGAGACAUUCCCAUGCUGGUGGGAGUGGAGGGGGGCAGUGCUCUCCUGCUCCACCCUCUUCCAGAGGAAAUGUCAUGAGAAAAUGUUUUCUCGAGGUCUUUCCUGCUCAAAUGCUCUGAGAAUGCUUGCUAUCAACUGUGCAUUUUUAUAGCAUUUUGACUGGAAGCAAUGUGAGAAUAUUCUUUCUCACAUUAUUUCCAGUAGAAAUACCCUGAGAACGCUGUUGUUUGUGAUAUUUCUACAAAAUGUACUGGAUGUGACUACAUUUGCCUUUAUAAUUGUAGUUUUUUCCCCCCCUUUCUUCAAGCUGAGAUUUGGGCAGUGUUUAAUGUAUCUCCAUUUAAAACGUUUCCUUUAUCAUUAAGCCUUGUCCUGAUUUCUGCCAAACGAAGCAUUUUGCUGAAAUAGCCAAUUUGUUUCUUUUGUGCCCUAGGACCUAACCAAACUGAAUCAAAGGUUAAGAAACCAGAUUGAACUCCACAUCAUUUACAGUAUUUAUAGGCUCUCCUUCUGAGAUGAAGUUGUUUUGACUGCCCUUUCUGUUUCAAAGUGGACCUACAAUAGGGUUGAAUAAAACUGUGGAGGAGUAGAGACCUGGAAGAACAAAGACCACAUACUGUAAAAAAGCCAUUCUAAUUAAAUCAGAAUGCAAACACAAGAAUGCCUUUGCUUUCAGAGAAACAAGUAAGUGACCUAGAGAACCUUAUGACUUGGCAGUACACACAUUUCUUUCUUUUUAUUUUUUUUUUUAAGUAACUCACAUAUUUAAAAGGAAAUAAAUCCUGGAUAAAAAUAUAA